UAUCCACUUGUGCAGGGUCCAUCCUUUGUAUACCUAGCUCCUGCCCUUGCGAUCAUCAACUCACAAGAAUUCUUUGGGAUCAAUGAUAAUAAUUCUAAACACAUAAUGAAGCACCUGCAGGGAGCUAUAAUAAUUGGAGGUGCAUUCCAAGUGUUUUUGGGAUAUAGAGGCCUCAUGUCACUAUUUCUUAGGUUGAUAAAUCCAGUGGCGAUGAGCUCCACCUGCUGCUGCUUAUAAGGUAGGUGGAGAUGGUCGAGAAAUUGAGACACAUGGUUCUGCUGUCCUGGGUAACUUCUGCGACAAGCGCAUUCGAUGGUACAAAAGACAUAAUGGAAGCUCUUAGAAACAAACAUACUAAUCUAGCCAAUGAGCUUGAGCGCAAUACUUUUUGUUUGCGCUUGCUGGGGGCAAGCUGAUAGAGCGUAUUCGUGCCUUGUCAUUUCAAAGCAUUGUGCGCUAGGAAAUUUCUUGGUU